AUAUAAAUUGUAACUUUUAAUUUGGAAGUCGACGUCAUAGCUGCAUACCGUGGUUCGUCCACCUGACCCCUGCCUUCACCGCAGGGAUCCCUUGUGCUGUUUUGGCCUCCUGCCUGCUGUGCACACAUCCAGUGAUAUUCCUGGACCGCUGUCGGCUGCUGAACAUGGGCCUCAUAACCGACCUCAGCUGAUUGGUAUGUAAUUUUAACGGUCUUCAAAAUAAUAUGUAGCUUGCGUGGGUUUUAAUUGUAUCUUUUUCGUGUAGCAGAGCUUGCAGUAACACAAGGAGCGGCAACAUCAAGGCUACCUUGGUUCAAGUUCCGAACGCUGCUGUUUUGUCUGCACCUAAGUUGUGUUGGUCGAUUUUACAUAUUUUGUUUAUUGUAUGUUUGCAUAUCUUUUAACUUACACACGGGAGAAUAACUGUAUACCGGACGCUCUCGUCCAGCAUUAGGCCUCAGCUAUUGUAUAAAAUACGAUGCUCACCACACUAUAUGUGUGAGUGCAUACUGGGCAGUGUGUGUACUAGGAGUGUUGGCUCCUUUUGAUUUCCCUCUCUCGCUGAACAGGAGUUGCAGGCCAACAGGGGUGGCGGGCUAUCUCGUGGUGGUGGCGUCACUUCACUUUUCCUGCUGUGGUUCAUUUGCUAUCGACAUAUUCACGUGUGGUGUGUGUGUAGACCCUUCCUCUGAUAUACUCUCCAGUCCUGGGUAAGCUCCAGCCCUGUUCCUGGCUCCUCCAAUCCCUCCUCAGCCAGUAAUCUAAUAUGCACAUGCUGGUGUAUGUGUGUGUGACUGUGUGUGUAUACAUGUGUGUCCAGGCCUUAGGCCAUUUGUGUCAGUGCCUUAGUGGCAAGUUCUGACUGUCUGGAGAGAACUCACUCCCUGUAUGUUUUUAGUAUUUGUAAAUAAAAACAGAGUUUAUUUUUGGAAA